rnacentral:tRNA from 1 species
AAAGCUCAAGCUUUGUAGAAGCGAUGGUUUUGUAAAUCGUAGAGGCUUAUUUUUAUAAGCGGGUUUU